GGAUGGUCUAGCCAUGCGAGUAUUGUAGCAAUACAAGGCGGACGGCUCAGUAACACGUAGUCAACCUAACUCGUGGACGUGGAUAACCUCGGGAAACUGAGAAUAAACCACGAUAGAUCAUAGUGCCUGGAAUGGCUUAUGGUACAAACAGUUUACUGCCAUGGGAUGGGACUGCGGCCUAUCAGCUUGUUGGUGAGGUAAUGGCCCACCAAGGCGAUUACAGGUACGGGCUCUGAGAGGAGUAGCCCGGAGAUGGGUACUGAGACACGGACCCAGGCCCUAUGGGGCGCAGCAGGCGAGAAACCUUAGCAAUGUGCGAAAGCACGACUGGGUCAGUCCGAGUGAUUCCUGAUAAAGGAAUCUUUUGCCUGUCCUAAAAGCACAGGUGAAUAAGGGGUGGGCAAGUCUGGUGUCAGCCGCCGCGGUAAUACCAGCACCUCGAGUGGUCAGGACGUUUAUUGGGCCUAAAGCAUCCGUAGCCGGCUCUGCAAGUCUUCGGUUAAAUCCACCUGCUCAACAGAUGGGCCGCUGGAGAUACUACAGAGCUAGGGAGUGGGAGAGGCAGACGGUAUUCAGUGGGUAGGGGUAAAAUCCUCUGAUCCAUUGAGGACCACCAGUGGCGAAGGCGGUCUGCCANAACACGUUCGACGGUGAGGGAUGAAAGCUGGGGGAGCAAACCGGAUUAGAUACCCGGGUAGUCCCAGCUGUAAACGAUGCAAACUCGGUGAUGCAUUGGCUUAUGGCCAAUGCAGUGCCGCAGGGAAGCCGUUAAGUUUGCCGCCUGGGAAGUACGGACGCAAGUCUGAAACUUAAAGGAAUUGGCGGGGGAGCACCACAAGGGGUGAAGCCUGCGGUUCAAUUGGAUUCAACGCCGGGAA
rnacentral:rRNA from 1 species